GAGGCAGUGAUGAGGAACAGAGAUCUUGGUGUGAUAUGGUGUGGAGAUCAUUCUUUCUUGCUACGAUGUUUGGGCCUUGUAGCAACUCUUUCUUGGCAAUGGUGGGGGGGCUGCUUGGAAGGUCUGAUGCUCCGCAGGCAACUGCUGCAGCCACCAGCUGUAUAGAAGAGUGCAGAGAUGAGGAAGAAUGUGGGAUCUCCUUCUCCAUAACGACGGAUCAAAAGGCAACUCUGAGCCUCACUCCCUCCUUUCUCUUUCUUUAUUCGAGAUAUGUCCCCAUUCUUUUGCUCAUUUUCCUUCACCAUUCUAUUUAAUUUUCUACAAAAUUUUUAUUCUCAUAUAUUUGCAGCUCAGGUGAUAUGUAACUGCUGGAUCAUAUGCUGAUUAUUGCUGCAACCUUUGCUACCUGUAUGUAUGUAUGAGUCAUUUCUCUUUUUCAUCUUUAUUGGUGAGAUACUGCAGACUAGGCAAGGUUGUUCUAGACAUAGUGGCCAAGAUUUGCUAGGUAGUUACAAUGAUGAGGUCUUCCUCCAUGGUCCGUCGGCCCUUCCUUACCUCAGCCUCUUGGCUGCCGUUUAUCCUUUUGUUCGUGGUGUUAGCUUCUUUUUUCAAUGGAAGAGAAUUCUUCUGAUCCAUCCAUUUCGUUUCUUCCCCAAAUCCUACAAAAAACCCAAACCAGAACCUGAGAAAUCUCCCUCAGGUGCUAUCCUUCAAAGAUCUCCAAAAAAAGAGAAUGAAAUGAAAAGAAAAAGAACCGAAAAGAAAAAGAAUGAUCAAUGUAUGUUGGAAAUCGUCUUACCUUCUCAUUUUUUUUGUCUUUCCUUUGUUUUCAUUGACUUUUCCUAUGUUUUCCCUUGGUCUUUCCUCUGUUUUUUCCAUCCUUAGGAGUCUGAAUCGGGUGGGAGGCUUAGAGCGGCUAAAUAGGGAAGCUUAGACGAUGGCUAGGGUUUUGUGUGGGGUAUUUAUAUAUAAGAGUUUAAAGGGUAUAGAUAUAUUUUCUGUUUUUAGAGGCUGUGAUGAGUUGCGCUUGGAUCUGAAGCUUCAGAUGCUGAAAUUCUGUGCUGCCGCUGGACAAUAUUUGUUCCAAAGCAUUCUCUCUCUCUCUCUCNNNNNNNNNNNNNNNNNNNNUCUCUCUCUCUCUCUCUCUCUCUCUCUCUCUCUCUCACACACACACACACACACACACACGCACGUGUAUGUGCACAUAGUUAAUCUUUCUCCUCCAAUACCUAAUAAUACCUGCCAACCAGUAGGUGAAGUACUUUUUUAAAUUAGUCGUGCAUCUCAAAUGCCUACUGGUUUGCCCUAUUUGAACAGGUUUGGCCAACUUGGAUGGCCUGCUAUUGUGCGGGCAACCAUUGUUGCCAGUAGCAACCUCAUCCAAUGUCUGAGAAAUGCGCAAAACUGAGCCUACCUUUUUUCCAACUUAACUAUUGUUCUGUCAUUCUUUUUUUUUUUUUGAAAGAAAAGGUAUUAUCAGCCUUUUAAAGAAGAGGAAGAGCUGACAUAACAUGGAUGAAUAUGAUGGACGUAGAAUAACUUGGAAUAGCAUCAGAGGGAGCCCUAAAUAAAAAUAAUUGGUGAAUGAGGAUUAAUAAAAUUGACCUCAAAUAUAUAGAAAAAACUGAAGCUCUACUGCCAAUAGCAAUCUCAAAUAUGGUCUAAAUAGUUAUGGCGAGUACCAUCAACUUGCUCCUUUCUUCUUGGUUCUCUCUAGAUUUUAUUCUUUGGUUAUCUAGGCCUUUUCUUCAGGGAGUUCCAGUUUCACCAUUCUUCCCCUGCUUCGAUAUAUUCCAUACCUAUUACUUAGUAGGUCUUAAUAUUGUGAUACUUGAUAGACGUUAAGAUAUGAAGCUUUAUGUGUGCUUCUUGGCUUGCUUUAUGCAGGCAACUGCAAGUUACAAAAAUUCUAUAUUAUUAUACUAUUAUAUUAUAAUAUUAUAAUAUUCAAAAUAAAUAAUUUGUGAAGUAAUAAUUAAUAAUAAUAGUUCUUGAUAUUAUAAAGAGUUAAAAAAUUGAAAGCACUAUGCAAUAUCUUUUAUCAUCUUUUCUCAUACUAAAAAUACUUUGUCGGUGUGGUUAACAAAAAAAUGUUAAAGUUCCAUAGCACUUUAGAAAUGUAGUUAUCAAACAGCAAAAAGCUUUUUGUUAAAAGCUCAACUAGCAAAAACUCUACUUUCAAAAGGUCUGCAAAUAAAAGUUGAGGCUUCAGGAAGAGGCAGUGGAAGUGCUGAUGGCUUUAUUCUCACAGAAGAUGCCCCCUUCUGCUCCUCUACCAAGCCAAUGAUCCUGAAUCCUCCCCAUUCUCUUGGUCUGUGUUUGUGUCUGUUUUGAAGAGGCGGUGGUGAGGAACGAAGCUCUUUGUGUGAUGGGUAUAGAGCUCACUUUCUUGCUAUGAUGGUUGGGCCACAUAGCAUUACUCUUUAUUGGCAGCAGUUAGGGGUGGCAAUCGGGUUGGGUCGGGUCAUAAACGGGUCGGGUCAAUACAGGUCGGGUCAGAAAAUCGUCAACCCAAAUCCGACCUGUUUAUUAAACAGGUCAAGAAUUCAAAUCUAAACCGGACCUGUUUAUUAAACAGGUAACCCGAUCCGACCUGUUUAACUCGUUUAUUAAAUAGGUCAAAUUAGGUUAAAUGGGUUAAACAGGUUAAACAGAUUGGAUUAAAUGGGUCAGAAAUAUGUUAAAUAGGUUUUAAACAGGUUAAACGGGUCUUAAAUGGAUUAAACAGGUUAAACAGGUUGGGUUAAAUGGGUCAGAAAUAGGUUAAACAGGUUAAAUGGGUUAUUUGACUCAAUCCAAUCUGAAUAUUAAACGGUUUAAACGGAUUAAACGGAUUAGAUAUUUAAAACUCAAAUCUGACCCACUUAUUAAACGGGUUAAACGGAUUGACUGGUUUAUGACCCAAACCUAUUUAGCCUAAAUCCAAACCUAUUUAUGGCGGGUCGAACACGGGUCGGGUUGGCUGGUCGGGUCAUAUUUGCCAGCCCUAGCAGCAGUGGUAGGGCAGCUCGGAAUGUCUGAUGCUCUGCAACCACCAGCUGUAUAGAGGAGUAGAGAUGAGGAAGAAAGGGGGUUCUCCCUCUCCCUCUGUAUCAUGGUCAAAGGUGAUUCUGAGUCUCUCUCCCUUCUCUUUCUUUAUCCAAGGUAUGCCCCUGUCCUUAUGGCUUUUGCUUUUUUCCCUUCACAUUCUAUUUAAUUUUCUACAAAAAAUCUAAUUUUCAAUGUUUCAACUGCUUAAAUUUGAAGUUAUUUUUAGAAGAUUGAAUUCCUUCUUUGACAUUAUGGUUUUGGCAAUUUUGGGGAUUUUGCAUUAAAAAAAUCCACUUAAUUAUUAUUUUCACCUCUCCUCCAAUUGCUUGCCCUUGGAGAAGAGGGUUCAUCUGGGGUAUCAUUUAUUUUCUAUAAAAAAAUCCGAAUGUUAACUCAAUUUCGGCCACUCAGUUUCACGUUCCUUUGCUCUCAUCCACCAUGGAUCACCGAUUGCACAGCUUUUAAAACACUCCGAACUCCAUCAUUCGUCUACCAGCAUAGAUCUGAAAGAAGCAAUGGAUGAUCUAAUGAUGGACUCUCAUGAAGGAAGAUGAAUCCUCUUCUGCAUGAAAGAUACAAACUCGAUCAUGAGGCUUUAGGAACAGGCAGUGCAGGGGCUGGUGGCUUUAUUCUCUCGGAAGCUGCCACCUUUUGCUCUUCUCCCAAGCUGGGGAUUCUUAUUCCUCUGUAUUCUCUCUCUCUCUGAUGCGGGACAAUCCUAAAGGAGAGAGAAAAAGAAAAUCAAUCCUAAUGAUCAAGCUCUCUUCUGUUCAUCAACAACAAAUCACGUCCGGUCAGGGGCUCAUUAUUCUCAGGAUAGACAGUAUAGUUGCCUAUACUCUGCUCAAGAAGCGUGAUUGAUUGAUACGAGACUAAAGCGAGAUCAAUCUAAAUGAUACAGACGAAUGCCAUUCGAGAGAUCAGUAAACAACUAGCAAUAGAGAAUUUCAUAAACAGAUAGCAGAAAUUAAACAUGCUCACGAGUAAAUGCAAAAAGAAAUAUGAAUGGAACGAGAGAAAAUAAAAUAUUAAAUCCGUGAGAAAAAUCCAAGAAGAUGAUAAGAAUCCGGAUCGUGGUAGUUAAGAAAUUACUCUGAUUAGGGCUCUUAAUCUUUUAACCAAACAGAUCCAUCGAUAAAGAACUAGGUCUUUACCAACAUCGGAUUAAAAAAAAAAUCAAAGAUCAACUGUUAAGGAACGAAGGUCUUUGACAGCAUAUGAUCUGUAGAAUAAGAAAGCACUCCCUCUCAGCACGAUAGAUGAAAAUUCUGGAGGAGACAGAUCUUCUCUUGGCAGAAUAGGCUUGCGUGGGUAGAUGGAGUCGAAUCAGAGUCGCAGGAACACUGGAUCUUAAGUAGGAGUANNNNNNNNNNNNNNNNNNNNCCUUGUGGGGCGAUUUUGGGUCUCACACCCUCUUCCUCUCGGAGCGAUUAACACAAGUAUUUGUGGAGUUUGUAAAAUUAUUCAUUGUCCUUUUCAUGAAAGAUACAAGGAUUUAUAUAGGACUCUAAGGGUUCUGUUUCUUUAGGAAUCUCUUACCUUUUACAAGGAAGAAAUCAGUCCUCCACAAAAAAGUAAAGCAUUAUAUGUGAUAAAAUAAUCUACCAUGGAAAAGAAAUCAGCUCUCAACAAAAUAAGUAAGUAGCCAAGAACUCUUAAGAAAUUCUAGGGAAGAAAUGGAACUCCAUGUGGGUGCUUGAUGUUUGACACAACUAGGCAUGAGUACGGCACACGCUGGCAUGCAUAUUUCUUUUCUUGGCAUGUGGAGAGUGGUGGCUCCAAAGGUGACGUGGACAAAUCCAAGUAUGGUCCUAUAGACCCAAAGCUAAAUGCAUUAAAAAUUUAUUGACUGAAAAUAAAUAACUGAAGUAGAAUCAAUCUAAUGAGGCUUCUUCGAUCCAAAUCGAAUUUAAAUCAUGUUGCCUAUUUUUGAUGGCUCUGGUGUCCGCACUACUCUCUCUCUCUCUAUAUAUAUAUGUAUAUAUAUAUAUAUAUGUCUGUGUGCGUGCGUGCGUGCGCAUGUGUGCAUCUUGUGAAGAGGCAGUGAUGAGGAACCAAGAUCUUUGUGUGAUAUAGAGUAGAGCUCAUUCUUUCUUACUACGAUGUUAUGGCCCUGUAGCAACUCUUUCUUUGCAAUGGUGGUGGGACAGCUUGGAAGGUCUGAUGCUCUGUGGGCAACCGCUACAGCCACCAGCCGUUUGGAAGAGUGCAGAUAUGAGGAAGAAGGUGGGAUCUCCUUCUCUCUCUGUGCCAUAAUGAUGGAUCAAAGGCAACUCUGAGCCUCACUCCCUCCCUCUUUCUUUAUCCAAGAUAUGUCCCUGCUCUUUUGCCCAUUUUCCUUCCCAUCUAUUCAAUUUUCUAUGAAAUUUUUAGUCUCAUAUAUUUGCAGCUCAGGUGAUAUGCAACUGCUGGAUCAUAUGCUGAUUAUUCCUGUAGCCUUUGCUGCCUGUAUGUACGAGCCAUUUCUCUUUUUCAUCUUAGUUGUGAGAUUCCUGCAGACCAGGCAAGGUCGUUCAAGACAUACUGACCAAGGUUUGCUAUGUAGUUACCAUGAUGAGGUCUUCCUCCAUGGUCCAUCAGCCUUUCCUCACCUCAGCCUCUUGUUUGCCAUUUUAUCCUUUUGUUUACUUUUGUUUAUGGUGUUAGUAUCUUUCUGAUGGAAGAGAAUUCUUCUGAUCCAUCCAUUUAGUUUCUUCCCCAAACCCCACAAAAUUUCAUGUUUCCACCAAGAUUAAGCUCUCAAAACUUUAAGGGACCAACUCACACCACCACAACUUGCACAAAAUCCCAUAUGCUUGAGAAAAAACCCAAACCGGAACGGCCCCUCCGAUCUCCCUCGGGUGCUCUCCUUCCCAGAUCUCCAAAAAAGAGAAUGAAAUGAAAGGAAAAAGAACUGAAAAGAAAAAAAAUGAUCAAUCUAUGUGGGAAAAGGUCUUACCUUUCAAUUUUUUCCGUCUUUCCUAUGUUUUCCCCCGGCUUUUCCUGUUUUUUCCAUCUUCAGGAAUCUGAAUCUGGCGGGAGGCUUGGAGCAGCUGAAUAAGGGAAGCUUAGACUAUGGCUAGGGUUUUGUGUUGGGUAUUUAUAUAUAAGAGUUUAAAGGGUAUAUAUAUAUUUUCUGUUUUUAGAGGCUGUGAUGAGUUGCGAUUGUAUCUUAUGCUUCAGAUGCUGAAAUUCUGUGCUGUUGCUGGACAAUAUUUGUCCCAAAGCACUCUCUCUCUCUCUCUCACACACACACACUCACACACACACAGUUAAUCUUUCUCCUCUGAUACCUAAUAAUAUCUGCCAUCCGGUAGGUGCACUUUUUUAAAUUAGUCAUGCAUCUCAAAUGCCAACCGGUUUGCCUUAUUUGAACAGGUUUCGCCAACUUGGAUGGCCUGCUAUUGUGCAAGCAACCAUUGCUGCCUGUAAGCAACCUCAUCCAAUGUCUGAUAAAUGCGCAAAACUGAGCCUCCCUUUUUUCCAACUUAACUACUGUUCUGUCGUUCGUUUUUUUUUUAAUAAAUAAAAGAUAUUAUCAGCCUUUUAAAGAAGAGGAAGAGUUGACGUAACUUGGAUAAAUAUGACGAAGGACAUGGAGUAACCUGGAAUAGCAUCAGAGGUAGCCCUAAAUAAGAAUAAUUGGUGAAUGAGGAUUAAUAAAACCAACCUCAAAUAUACAGAAAAAACUAAAGCUCUAGUGCCCACAGCAGCAAUCCCAAACAUGGUCUAAAUAUUUAUGAUAAGUACUAUCAACUUGUUUUUUUCUUCUUGGUUCUCUCUAGAUUUUAUUCUUUGGUUAACUAGGCCCUUUCUCGAGGGGUUGCAUUGUCACUAUUCUUCCCCCGCUUCCAUAUAUUCCAUAUGUAUUGCUCAAUGGAUCUUAAGAUUGUGAAACUUGAUAGAUGUUAAGAUAUGAAGCUAUAUGUGUGCUUCUUGGCUUGCUUUAUGCAGGUAACUGCAAGAUACAAAAUUUCUAUAAUAUUAUACUAUUAUAUUAUAAUAUUAUACUAUUUAAAAUAAAUAAUUUGUAAAUUAAGAAUUAAUAAUAAUAGUUCCGGAUAUCAUAAAGAGUUAAAAAAAAUUGAAAGCACUAUACAUAUCUUUUAUCGUCAUUUCUCAUACUAAAAAAGUACUUUGCCGGUAUGGUUAACAAAAAGAUGUUAAAGUUCUAUGGCACUUUAGAAAUGUAGUUACCAAACAGCAAAGAGCUUUUUGUUAAAAAAUCCGAAUGUUAACUCAGUUUCACCUUCCUUUGCUCUCAUCCACCAUGGAUCACCUGUUGCACAGCUUUUAAAGCACUCCAAACUCCGUCAUUCAUCUGCCUGCAUAGAUCUGAAAGAAAGCAAUGGAUGGUCCGAUGAUGGACUCUCAUGAAGGAAGAUGAAUCCUUCUUUCGUGUGAAAGAUACAAACUUGAUCCUGAAGCUUUGGGAAGAGGCAGUGCAGGGGCUGGUGGCUUUAUUCUCUCUGAAGCUGCCCCCUUUUGCUCCUCUCCCAAGCUGUGGAUUCUUAUUCCUCUGCAUUCUCUCUCUCUCUCUCUCUCUCUCUCUCUCUCNNNNNNNNNNNNNNNNNNNNNNNNNNNNNNNNNNNNNNNNNNNNNNNNNNNNNNNNNNNNNNNNNNNNNNNNNNNNNNNNNNNNNNNNNNNNNNNNNNNNNNNNNNNNNNNNNNNNCUCUCUCUCUCUCUCUCUCUCUCUCUCUCUCUCUCUCUAUAUAUAUAUAUAUAUAUAUAUAUAUAUAUAUAUAUAUAUAUAUAUAUAUAUGUACACACACACAUGCGCACACACACACACACACAUGCACACGUAUGUCUGUGUGUGUGCGUGCAUGCCUCUUUUGAAGAGGCAGUGAUGAGGAACCAAUAUCUUUGUGUGAUAUGGAGUAGAGCUCAUUCUUUCUUGGUAUGAUAUUUGGGCCCUGUAGCAACUCUUUCUUUGCAAUGGUGGUGGGGCAGCUUGGAAGGUCUGAUUCUCUGCAGGCAACCGCUGCAGCCACCAGCUGUUUAGAAGAGUGCAGAGAUGAGGAAGA
rnacentral:lncRNA from 1 species